ensembl:lncRNA
UCAUCUGCCACAUCCCUGUUUUGUGUUCUAUUUCAGCCUAAGAUGAAAGAGUUGGGAGCACAGUCUUCAUUUUCCACAGCUCAGAGAGGCAAACCAAGUUAUCCAAGCCACACAGCACAUCAGCAGAGCAGCCGGGAUGGGUUGGGCAGCAGUUUCCCACUCCCAGGGCCCAGUGCCCCUGCUCUCCACUCAGCAGUGUCCCCACAGUCCUUGACUUAGGUAGGAUGGUGGGGGUGGUGCCUGGAUUGCAGCUUUCUGAAGAGAAGUCUUGCCACACUUUUCUUUUCUUAUUUCCCUGGAGUGGAGCAAACAGAAUGUCUGUGGCCUCGGAAAGAAGUGGGUCCAUCAGGCCGAGGAGUACCAGUUGUAGACAUUGCCUGUCUGUGAGCAUGUCUGCUGUCCAUGGAAGAUCCUUAUGCUGGGCUAAAAAAGCCAUCUUGCACUUUGCAAGGCUCUGCUGACUGCUGCCGAAAAUGACACACAGGACUCCUCCUGCUCUACCCAGCCCUCCCUGCUCCACCCGAAGGGCAGGGCAGCGGUGGAGGUGUGAGCCUGGAGUCCUCCCAGCCACUGACCACCUGCGGUGUGCACUGGGGUGAGUGUAUUUGUGUGUGUGUAAGAAUUUAUGGACUUGAAGGGAGGGGCUGGGAGCGGGGGAGGGCCCACAUCGAGCCCUGGAACCUACUGCCCACCUUUUUCUCUCUCAGGCCUCACAGAGCACUUGUCAUACAUUUUAAUGGACUUUGGAGUCAGACAAACCUAUGUUGAUGUCCUGGUUACUAUCCCGGCUGGCUGUGUGAUUUGGGAAAGUUAGGUAACUUCUCUGAUCCCUGAUUUCUCCUCUGUGGAGUGAGUGUAACUUUCAUCUGGGAUGGGGGCAUCCUUUGAAAUACUUGUGUUAGCUCCAGUAACCCAGUGCCCAGCACACACAGGGGGCUUACUGAUUAGCUUCCCUCCCGAAUUCCUCCUUCGGACCUUGGUUGGUCACUCCUGGUAAAGGGGGGAUUCCUUAAGACAGGGCGCGGAUGACUUCUUACUGUCUCCUGGUGCUAUAUACAGUGCUUCAUGAUUCGCACGGAGAAUUGUGUACAAAUAUAUACCGUCAGUUAUAAAUGAUAAAGCACUGUUAAUCCCUUACCUCUUCAAAUAACGUGAAAGUUUUAUGAGAGAAGAGACAGGACAAAAGGAAAUAGCACAGUCAUUUUACCCGGAGGGACAAAGGGAUUUUAUCAGAGAAGCAUGCUUUGAACUCAGGGCAGACAAUUUCUAGCCUAGAGCUCUUUUCUCGAAGUCACAGCUGCCUCUCUCGUUAUUCAGCAUUGCUCCUCUGCAGCGCGAGAGGACGGCUUCGUGGGAAAGGAGGAUGUUAGGUACAGGCAUCUUGCGUCCACAAAUCUUGGGGUCCCUCUGGGCAUGGAAGCCAAGGGCAAGCUGCUGAGUCACAGGAGCCGCACGCGGACACCGGCCAGUAGGAGAUGCAGCUUUGGCCAGCCCUGGAAGAGCAACCAGAGAGCAGGGUGGGCACGGUGAGGACAGGUCUGAUUGAGACCCCCAGAACUCAGGGAACCUAAGGAGAACGCUGGCCGCAUCUGCAGAAUCCAUCAGGCGUCUUGAUGGGUCGCCGUUAAACAAAGAUGGGAUAAGGUUACAUGUGUUUUCCGUGGGAGUCGGCUCCAAUUUCAGCCUGAUGAUUUAGUCAGGUGUAAGCAUGAAGUUUCCAAUUUAGAGAAAUAAAUCUCCAGUGAUUUUAUUAUCCCCUGUUUUA